GUAAACAGUCUGCUUGCUCAUAGCAACUGAAAGUUUUCUUCCAAUGGUUCUGGUUCCAGGGGAGGUUGUUGAAGAUUAAAUCCUGAAGUCUGUCCCAUUCAGAGAGCAGCAGCCUGGCUUCUGUUGGCUACAGCAUCAGGUUCAGACUUUUCCCUGGACUCCCUCCCAGCUGGCUGUGGCGCACUAGCCCCCUUCAGGCUGUGUUCACGCAGCCAACCCCAGUCCUCUCCCUGGGAUCCAACCUCUGAAGCCAGAGCCUCAGCUCUCAGCCCCCACCUGCCCCAGCAAGUGAGCAGACUAGCGUCUCAGACUGCCACUUCAGUGAUUUUCAGCAAAUGAAGAGUCUGAAAUGUUCUGGCUGUCUGAAGAACCUAUAGCUGAAAGUCAGGUAUACAGCAUGAAGAUUUGAUAUACAUAUAGAUGGUGAAAUGAUUACCACAAUAUAAGUUAACAUCUAUCACCUCAUAUAGUUACAAAUUCUGUGUGUGCAUGUGUGUUAAACUUUUAAGACCUGCCCUCUAAGCAUCUUUCAAAUAUACAAUACGUUGUUUUAAACUUUAGUCACUAUGCUGUAUGUUACAUCCCCAGUACUUAUUUACUUUAUAGCUGAAAGUCUGUACCUUUUGAACACCUUCACCCAUUUUGACCACUCCCACUUACCCCUUCCUCUGGCAACUGACCAAUCUGUCCUCUAUAUCUAUGAGUUUGGGAUUUUUUUAGAGUCCACAUAUACGUGAUAUCAUAUUUAAAAUAUUUUGCUCCUUGGGUUACCUAUUCAUUUCAUAUUGCAGCAAUGUUUUACAAUCUUAACAAUAUGUUAUUCUUUAUCUGCUAGAUUUUUAUGCAUGAAGCCUGAAGAAAAUCAGAUUUAGGAACUGUUUUCCAGGACUGUAUUAUAUUCCUCACUUGUCUCACAUCAAAUUAAUUUAAGACCUUAACAACUACUGUUCAAUAUGCACUCAUUCUGAAUGCAUAUUAAAGACAAAAAUGAGAGAAAAAGUAUAAUCCUCCACUUUUUAAAUGCCAACAUUGUAAUAAAUUACU